rnacentral:rRNA from 1 species
AGAGUUUGAUCAUGGCUCAGGACGAACGCUGGCGGCGUGCCUAAUACAUGCAAGUCGAGCGAAUCUUUGGGAGCUUGCUCCCGAAGGUUAGCGGCGGACGGGUGAGUAACACGUGGGCAACCUGCCUGUAAGACUGGGAUAACUUCGGGAAACCGGAGCUAAUACCGGAUAAUUCUUUCCCUCACAUGAGGGGGAGCUUG